GUGUGUGUCUGUAAUUACGCAUUCUAUAGAUGGAGCUACUGAAUGAUGACUAAGACUAUUGACAAGCUGGUACUUAUGGAACGACGAAAGCUGUGAACUUUAACCUGUGUGUAACUUUCAACAGUUAAGUUAAAAGGUUUCCGUACUUUCACAGUUGAAAAGAAAAGGUACUGAUACAUGGCUUCUGGAAAUGACUCGAUGGCUGAUGAUGAUGUAACACAUUCCGUAAUCAGUAUUGACGUUGAGGAAGACCUUCCUUCUGAUAUAGG